rnacentral:rRNA from 1 species
GCAAGUCGAGCGAAUGAUGAGGAGCUUGCUCCUCUGAUUUAGCGGCGGACGGGUGAGUAACACGUGGGUAAUCUGCCUGUAAGACGGGGAUAACUCCGGGAAACCGGGGCUAAUACCGGAUAAUAAGAAGAGACGCAUGUCUCUUUUUUGAAAGUCGGUUUCGGCUGACACUUACAGAUGAGCCCGCGGCGCAUUAGCUAGUUGGUGAGGUAACGGCUCACCAAGGCGACGAUGCGUAGCCGACCUGAGAGGGUGAUCGGCCACACUGGGACUGAGACACGGCCCAGACUCCUACGGGAGGCAGCAGUAGGGAAUCUUCGGCAAUGGGCGAAAGCCUGACCGAGCAACGCCGCGUGAGCGAUGAAGGCCUUCGGGUCGUAAAGCUCUGUUGUUAGAGAAGAACAAGUACGAGAGUAACUGCUCGUACCUUGACGGUACCUAACCAGAAAGCCACGGCUAACUACGUGCCAGCAGCCGCGGUAAUACGUAGGUGGCAAGCGUUAUCCGGAAUUAUUGGGCGUAAAGCGCGCGCAGGCGGUCUCUUAAGUCUGAUGUGAAAGCCCACGGCUCAACCGUGGAGGGUCAUUGGAAACUGGGAGACUUGAGUGCAGGAGAGAAAAGUGGAAUUCCACGUGUAGCGGUGAAAUGCGUAGAGAUGUGGAGGAACACCAGUGGCGAAGGCGGCUUUUUGGCCUGUAACUGACGCUGAGGCGCGAAAGCGUGGGGAGCAAACAGGAUUAGAUACCCUGGUAGUCCACGCCGUAAACGAUGAGUGCUAGGUGUUGGGGGGUUCCACCCUCAGUGCUGAAGUUAACACAUUAAGCACUCCGCCUGGGGAGUACGACCGCAAGGUUGAAACUCAAAGGAAUUGACGGGGGCCCGCACAAGCAGUGGAGCAUGUGGUUUAAUUCGAAGCAACGCGAAGAACCUUACCAGGUCUUGACAUCCUCUGACCACUCUAGAGAUAGAGCUUUCCCCUUCGGGGGACAGAGUGACAGGUGGUGCAUGGUUGUCGUCAGCUCGUGUCGUGAGAUGUUGGGUUAAGUCCCGCAACGAGCGCAACCCUUGACCUUAGUUGCCAGCAUUCAGUUGG